GUGCUCACUUCAGUAGCACACAUAUUAAAACUGAAAUAAUACAGAGAAUAGUAUGGCUCCUGAGCAAAGAUGACAUGCAAAUUGAUAAAGCAUUUCAUAAUCUU